CAGUGGGAGAUAAACCCACCAAGGCAAAAGCCAGAACCUUGUAGCUUGGUCAGCAAGGGGGAAGGAAACUGAACUCUUGAAGCCUGACGACAAAGCCAUCGGAAGGAUGGUGAGGGAGUAUCCGGGCCGUAACGAAA
rfam:Kosmotoga olearia TBF 19.5.1, complete genome.